CUUCAUUGGAGGCUGCGUCCUGUCCCUUGGUUGAAGGUCUGUACCUGCAGGAAGCAGACAGUAUGCUGCAGCUGCUGUGCUCCCCUCACAGCACCGCACGGACAUACUAGCGUGGAUCUGCAGCAGUAUCAGCCCAAACUUAACCAGUUCAAAGGCGAUGUCAGUGAGAUCCAAGGAGCCUGAUGUUCUGACUAAAGAUAUGGCUGUUCUUGGGCAGGAACUUUUGCUAUGCAGAGCAUCUGAUGUGGACCUGAUUA